rfam:Schistosoma mattheei strain Denwood, Zambia genome assembly, scaffold: SMTD_scaffold0012099
NNCCAGCUGACGAGUCCCAAACAGGACGAAACGCGCGUCCUGGAU